GGGACUGGAUGUCAGAACAAGCCAAAGCAGGUGGAAGGAAGCCAUUUGGGAAAAAUUGAAAGGAAAUGUAACUUUACACAGCAGGUGUGCCUUUAUCAGCUGCGUGAAAACAGACUCAUACAGACCCCUAAUCCAAUUUUACUGGCGUCCUUAUAAAAAGAGAAAAUUUGGAUGUAGACAUGCACACAGAGAGAUUACCAGGGGGAUCCAGGAAAUCUCCACACUGCCGUGCACUCCACUGCUUGUCAUAUGUGCCUCCCCAGGAUGCUACAGAGAAUGUGAUGACAUCUCAACAGGCUAACUGACAACAUGCCCUCCCCUGAAUCUGCUCUG
rnacentral:lncRNA from 10 species